ensembl:snRNA U6 U6 spliceosomal RNA
AUGCUUGCUUCGGCAGCACAUAUAACUAAAGUUGGAAUUACACAGAGUAUUAGCAUGGCCCCUGCCCCAGGAUGGCGUGCAAAUACAAAGUUUGAUCUCUUUUC